rnacentral:rRNA from 1 species
UUCUGGUUGAUCCUGCCGAAGGCUACUGCUAUUGGAGUUCGAUUAAGCCAUGCGAGUCUAAGGGGUACUUGUACCCCUGGCAUAAUGCUCAGUAACACGUGGAUAAUCUACCCUUAGGUGGGGCAUAAACCCGGGAAACUGGGGCUAAUACCCCAUAGAUACAGAAGGCUGGAAUGCCUCUGUAUUCAAAGCUCCGGCGCCUAAGGAUGAGUCUGCGACCUAUCAGGUAGUAGUCAGGGUCACGACCUGACUAGCCAACGACGGGUACGGGGUGUGAGAGCACUUGCCCGGAGAUGGUUUCUGAGACACGAAACCAGGCCCUACGGGGCGCAGCAGGCGCGAAAACUUCGCAAUGCGGGAAACCGUGACGAGGGAACUCCAAGUGUCUAUGCAAUGCAUAGACUGUUUUUCAGCCUAAAUAGCUGUUAGAGUAAGGGGUGGGUAAGACCGGUGCCAGCCGCCGCGGUAACACCGGCACCCCGAGUGGUAGCCACUAUUAUUGGGCCUAAAGCGUUCGUAGCCGGUUUAGUAAAUUCUUGGGUAAAUCGUACAGCUUAACUGUGCGGAUUCCGGGGACACUACUAGACUUGAGACCGGGAGAGAUUAGAGGUACUUGCAGGGGAGCGGUGAAAUGUUGUAAUCCUGCAGGGACCACCAGUGGCGAAGGCGUCUAAUCAUAACGGCUCUGACGGUGAGGAACGAAACCCUGGGGCGCAAACGGGAUUAGAUACCCGGGUAGUCCUAGGUGUAAACGCUGUGGACUUG